AGAGUUUGAUCCUGGCUCAGAACGAACGCUGGCGGCGUGCCUAACACAUGCAAGUCGUACGAGAAAUCCUGGGCAACUGGGAAAGUAAAGUGGCGCACGGGUGAGUAACGCGUGGGUAACCUACCCUUGGACUUGGGAUAACUCCGCGAAAGCGGGGUUAAUACCGAAUGAUAUUCCGAUUCCUAAGGGGAUUGGAAUCAAAGUUGGCCUCUGCAUGCAAGCUAUUGUCCGAGGAUGGGCCCGCGUACCAUUAGCUAGUUGGCAGGGUAAUGGCCUACCAAGGCAACGAUGGUUAGCUGGUCUUAGAGGAUGGCCAGCCACACUGGAACUGAGACACGGUCCAGACUCCUACGGGAGGCAGCAGUGGGGAAUCUUGCGCAAUGGGGGAAACCUUGACGCAGCAACGCCGCGUGGGUGAUGAAGGCCUUCGGGUCGUAAAGCCCUGUCAGGUGGGAAGAACCAUGUCGGUGCUAAUAUCACCGAUGUUUGACGGUACCGCCGGAGGAAGCACCGGCUAACUCCGUGCCAGCAGCCGCGGUAAUACGGAGGGUGCAAGCGUUGUUCGGAAUUACUGGGCGUAAAGCGCGUGUAGGCGGUCGGGCAAGUCAGAUGUGAAAGCCUUCCGCUUAACGGAAGAAGUGCAUUUGAAACUACCCGGCUGGAGUACGGGAGAGGAGAGUGGAAUUCCCGGUGUAGAGGUGAAAUUCGUAGAUAUCGGGAGGAACACCAGUGGCGAAGGCGGCUCUCUGGUCCGAUACUGACGCUGAGACGCGAAAGCGUGGGGGAGCAAACAGGAUUAG
rnacentral:rRNA from 1 species